CCUACGGGAGGCAGCAGUAGGGAAUCUUCGGCAAUGGACGAAAGUCUGACCGAGCAACGCCGCGUGAGUGAAGAAGGUUUUCGGAUCGUAAAACUCUGUUGGUAGAGAAGAACGUUGGUGAGAGUGGAAAGCUCAUCAAGUGACGGUAGCUGCCCAGAAAGGGACGGCUAACUACGUGCCAGCAGCCGCGGUAAU
rnacentral:rRNA from 1 species